CGUCAGAUCCGUUUAGUCGGGUUGAAGCCAUAGCCCGGGAAGCUGGUUUCAUGCCGUCGCUGCUAAAUCCGUGUCCAUCCGUCUGUAAAUGUUAAAUAUUUGUGAUCUUUAAGGCAUUAUUUUAGUUGAAAAAAACGUGAAUUUUGUUUAUUUAUUAGUUUUGUUUCGUAAUAGUAUUUUCUGAAGAUUUUAAGACGAAAGUGUUCUACCAUCUGCGGCAUUAGCAUGGCGGACAGUUCUGUUCGAGUUUCUGAUAUUUUUGUGUGGAGAACCUACAGCGGGAGGAUGGACACCAUCGACAUAAAAAGGAUCUGGGAUCUAGAUCCAGACUGACUGACCCCGGUCUGUACUGCUUUGACUUGAAACAGGCUUUGGCUGAGGAUCUGCUGCCAGAGGAUGAACGUCUAGGCACGCCAAAUGGACUUCAGGUCGUUUCUGAAGGACCUCUAACAGGGGUCAUGUGACCUGCGUGACUUCAGCAUUUCAGGUUUUAUCAAGAGGCGCAUCGAUGAAAACCAGUUUGUGCUGAAAGCUUUGAAGACUCAAACCCCAACUUCUGAAGCACUUUAAUCUGAUAAAUGUUUGUUUUAAAACAAAAAUAUGUACACGGCCUGUUUUUCUCUUUGUAUUCUUUUCAUAUGGCAGAAAACAAACAUCUGAUUAAAGACCACCAUGAAAUAAGGAAGAUUUAUUUCUUAUUUUGAUUCUUUUUAUUUCUGAGAGAAUACUUGAUCCAGACUAGAUUUACAAUCUUUUUGUGAGUUUAUAUGGUCUGUUUUAACACUUUUAUUGUAGUGGGUUUGUGCACUCAUUUUUAUUGAUUGGACUAUGAGUAUGGAAUAAAUGUAAUCUACAUUUGA